UCAUGGGAGUGUCAGACGCGUGGAAGGCCAGUGACUGGCGCCCCGAGCGGUGGUGGCGCACGUGGGAAGGCUGGUGGCUGAAGGUUCGCGGCUGACAACUUUGGUGGCUGCUGCAAUUUUUUUUAACAUAGUGGGGUAUUAUUUGGGCUUUAGGGUUUGUAUUUAGUUGGGUUUGGUCUUUUAGUUUGGGCCGGGCAUAAUUGGGCUUGUACAGACGACAUGGCUCAUUCCUACUCUGAUAUCUCUACCAAUAAAGAAGAAGAUUAAAGGCAAAAUCUAGAACCUCAACCUCAAACUUAGACAACCUAGGACCAACUCGGUUAUCAUACCAACAAUUGUAGCCUCAAGCUUAUCAUAGAAUCUUUAUGAUAUUGUGCCUAGUUGAUAUGUUUGUGUAAUUUAUUUUGAUAAAUUAUUGGACAUGAUACAACAAAUUUUAGUGUUCAUUGC
rnacentral:lncRNA from 1 species